rnacentral:lncRNA from 1 species
GCUUUCUUAGGAACAUGGGUGGUUCUCUUAUGGGUACACAAAUCUUUUAGACACUUAGCAUAAGAAGGAACUUGUUGAAUGGCAUCUAAAAGAGGAAUGUUUAUCUUGACUUGUUUGAAAACCUCUAGGAUUUGUUCCAUUUGGGCCGAUUGUUUAGGGCGAAUGAGUCUUUGUGGGUAAGGAACCCUUGGCUUGUAAACUUCUUCGUUGGGCCUUUGAGAGAUGGGCCCAGGACUAGGUUCACUCAUAUACUCACGCACUCUAGAACAUUCGGGUUUGUCAUGAUUAGUGCUAGACAAAGAAGGAUUUGUUUUAGGAAUCGACUCCUCAUUUUCAUUAACGUUCUCACCAACUUUGUUAUCCACUUGGUUUCCCGACCUUAGAGAAAUAAUCGCAUUAACAUUCUCGGGAGG